GAUGAACGCUAGCGGCAGGCUUAAUACAUGCAAGUCGAGGGGCAGCAUGACUGUAGCAAUACAGUUGAUGGCGACCGGCAAACGGGUGCGGAACACGUACAGAACCUUCCUUCAAGCGGGGAAUAGCCCAGAGAAAUUUGGAUUAAUACCCCAUAGUAUUACGGAGUGGCAUCACUUUGUACUUAAAGAUUUAUCACUUGAAGAUGGCUGUGCGGCUGAUUAGGUAGUUGGCGGGGUAACGGCCCACCAAGCCUACGAUCAGUAACUGGUGUGAGAGCACGACCAGUCACACGGGCACUGAGACACGGGCCCGACUCCUACGGGAGGCAGCAGUAAGGAAUAUUGGUCAAUGGACGAAAGUCUGAACCAGCCAUGCCGCGUGGAGGAUGAAGGUCCUCUGGAUUGUAAACUUCUUUUAUAUGGGACGAAAAAGGGUCUUUCUAGACCAACUGACGGUACCAUGUGAAUAAGCACCGGCUAACUCCGUGCCAGCCGCCGCAGUAACAC
rnacentral:rRNA from 1 species